UUGGAUAGUUGACAUGCGCAAGUAUUUUUAAAUGUUAUGCGCAAAAAUAUGGGAGGUAAACCAAACAUUUUGCAAGUUUUAGUAUAGAAAAUUAGAAAAACAUGUCGAUUCAUUGUGCUGUAAAAGGGUGCUCUAAUGGCCAGUAUAAGUUAUUAAAAUAGAACAAAGCUAUUUCUGAAGGAAAUGGGGUGUGUAGGGAUGAUCCUAAAUGUUCUUGUGAAGCGCCGUUCAGGUUGCAUACCUUUCCAAAACUGAAAAAGAGUUGGAUAGGAGAAAUAUAUGAAAACUACUCAUCAAUAGAGAAAGUAAUAAAAAGUAUAGGACCACCUUAAACUGUCAGGUUCACCUAAUCACCUAAUUGAGGUAAUUA